rnacentral:rRNA from 1 species
UAUUAAACAAGAUAAGAGUUUUUGGUGGAUGCCUUGGGUCUGGAAGUCGAUGAAGGACGUGAUUACCUGCGAUAAGCCUCGGUUAGCUGGAAAUGAGCUGUGAUCCGGGGAUUUCCGAAUGGGGAAACCUAAUUGAGCUAAUCCUCAAUUAUCAUAUCGAUGAAUACAUAGUCGAAUGAAGAGACACGCUGUGAAUUGAAACAUCUCAGUAGCAGCAGGAAGAGAAAAUAAAGAAUGAUUCCCUCAGUAGUGGCGAGCGAACGGGGAAGAGCCCAAACCAACAUUCGUUGUUGGGGUUAUAGGACUACAUUUUAGAGUUACAAAAUUUACAUAUAGCAGAAUAAGUUGGAAUGCUUAAACAUAGAGGGUGAAAUUCCCGUAAGCGAAAUGUGUAGAUCUCUUUGUAGUAUCCUGAGUAGGGCGGGGCACGUGAAACCCUGUCUGAAUUUGCCGGGACCACCCGGUAAGGCUAAAUACUAACCAGACACCGAUAGUGAACUAGUACCGUGAGGGAAAGGUGAAAAGAACCCCGGGAGGGGAGUGAAAUAGAUUCUGAAACCAAUUACUUACAGUUAGUCAGAGCCCGUUAAUGGGUGAUGGCGUACAUCUUGCAGAAUGGACCGGCGAGUUAUGUCAACAUGCGAGGUUAAGUGGAUUAAAGCGAAGCCGUAGAGAAAUCGAGUCUUAAUAGGGCGCUUAGUAUGUUGAUAUAGACCCGAAACCAGGUGAUCUACCCAUGAGCAGGUUGAAACUUAGGUAACACUAAGUGGAGGACCGAACCGUAGUACGCUAAAAAGUGCCCGGAUGACUUGUGGGUAGGGGUGAAAUUCCAAUCGAACUUGGAGAUAGCUGGUUCUCUCCGAAAUAGCUUUAGGGCUAGCGUGUAGUGUUAAGUGAUGGGGGUAGAGCACUGAAUAUGGAAUGGCGGCGCCUAGCUGUACUGACUAUAAUCAAACUCCGAAUACUAUCAUGAAUUGCUAUGCAGUCGGUACAUCGGUGAUAACGUCGAUGCACGCGAGGGGAACAACCCAGAUCGUCAGCUAAGGUCCCAAAAUUGUGUUAAGUGAGAAAGGUUGUGGAGUUUCUUAAACAGCUAGGAUGUUGGCUUAGAAGCAGCCAUCGUUUAAAGAGUGCGUAAUAGCUCACUAGUCGAGAGACUCUGUGCCGAUAAUUCAACGGGACUAAAACACAAUACCGAAGCUACGGGCAUGAAAAUGCGUUAGGAGAGCGUUGUAAGGGCAUUGAAGCCAGACUGUGAAGACU